CCGAAUUCGUCGACAACAGAGUUUGAUCCUGGCUCAGGACGAACGCUGGCGGCGUGCCUAAUACAUGCAAGUCGAGCGGAACCGGUGGAGCUUGCUCCAUUGGUUUAGCGGCGGACGGGUGAGUAACACGUGGGCAACCUGCCCUGCAGAUCGGGAUAACUCCGGGAAACCGGUGCUAAUACCGAAUAGUUUGCGGCCUCUCAUGAGGCUGUACGGAAAGACGGUUUCGGCUGUCACUGCAGGAUGGGCCCGCGGCGCAUUAGCUAGUUGGUGGGGUAACGGCCCACCAAGGCGACGAUGCGUAGCCGACCUGAGAGGGUGAUCGGCCACACUGGGACUGAGACACGGCCCAGACUCCUACGGGAGGCAGCAGUAGGGAAUCUUCCGCAAUGGACGAAAGUCUGACGGAGCAACGCCGCGUGAGUGAAGAAGGUUUUCGGAUCGUAAAACUCUGUUGUGAGGGAAGAACAAGUACCAGCUAACUACUGGUACCUUGACGGUACCUCACCAGAAAGCCACGGCUAACUACGUGCCAGCAGCCGCGGUAAUACGUAGGUGGCAAGCGUUGUCCGGAAUUAUUGGGCGUAAAGCGCGCGCAGGCGGUCCUUUAAGUCUGAUGUGAAAGCCCACGGCUCAACCGUGGAGGGUCAUUGGAAACUGGGGGAC
rnacentral:rRNA from 1 species